CCUACGGGGGGCUGCAGUGGGGAAUAUUGCACAAUGGGCGCAAGCCUGAUGCAGCCAUGCCGCGUGUGUGAAGAAGGCCUUCGGGUUGUAAAGCACUUUCAGCGGGGAGGAAGGCGUUAAGGUUAAUAACCUUGGCGAUUGACGUUACCCGCAGAAGAAGCACCGGCUAACUCCGUGCCAGCAGCCGCGGUAAUACGGAGGGUGCAAGCGUUAAUCGGAAUUACUGGGCGUAAAGCGCACGCAGGCGGUCUGUCAAGUCGGAUGUGAAAUCCCCGGGCUCAACCUGGGAACUGCAUUCGAAACUGGCAGGCUAGAGUCUUGUAGAGGGGGGUAGAAUUCCAGGUGUAGCGGUGAAAUGCGUAGAGAUCUGGAGGAAUACCGGUGGCGAAGGCGGCCCCCUGGACAAAGACUGACGCUCAGGUGCGAAAGCGUGGGGAGCAAACAGGAUUAGAUGCCCUUGUAGUC
rnacentral:rRNA from 1 species